UACGUAGGUGGCGAGCGUUGUCCGGAUUUACUGGGCGUAAAGGGCUUGUAGGCGGUCCGCUAAGUCUGGUGUGAAAUCUCCCGGCUCAACUGGGAGGGGUCAUCGGAUACUGGCGGACUUGAGGGGGGUAGAGGAAAGCAGAAUUCCUGGUGUAGCGGUGAAAUGCGUAGAUAUCAGGGAGGAAUACCAGUGGCGAAGGCGGCGUUUCUCGGGCCUACCCUGACGCUGAGGAGCGAAAGCGUGGGGAGCAAACCAGG
rnacentral:rRNA from 1 species